rnacentral:rRNA from 1 species
GCAAGUCGUACGCAUAUUUAUAUGAGUGGCGGACGGGUGAGUAACACAUGGAAAUCUACCUUACACUGGGGAAUAACUAUUAGAAAUAGUAGCUAAUACCGCAUACGCCAUAUUGGGAAAGCUUCGGCGGUGUAAGAUGAGUCCAUGCCUGAUUAGCUAGUUGGUAGGGUAAAAGCCUACCAAGGCAACGAUCCGUAGCUGGUCUGAGAGGGUGAUC